rfam:Bacillus pseudalcaliphilus strain DSM 8725 super5, whole genome shotgun sequence.
GCGGAUGAAAAUAAGGGGAGAGACUGCAAAGUGCAGCGCCGAAGGAGCAAGCUUUGAAACAAAGUGAAUCUCUCAGGCAAAAAGACUUUUAUUUGACGCAACUCUGGAGAGUGCUUAAUGGAGAUUAAGCCACCUACGAAGACAAUUUUCCGUUGCACGUAUCGGAAAAUGAAACUUUCUGGUACAAGGACAGGGAA